ensembl:lncRNA
AGGAAAGAGGGAAUGGGGUCUCUGAGGCGGUUCUAAAGAAGGGGUUCUGCCCACUGGGGCUUUUUAGGAGGAAAGUAUAUAAGUUCUGUUUCAGGGAUCUAUACGCCUCGUGCUGGACGGUCAUCCCGUACGAGUGGCUUCGGCUGAGGGAUCAGUGACCUUCGAGAAGAGACGGGAACGCAUGACGGGAACUUCACAGGAAGAGAAAAAGGUCAGCCAACAGGGAACAAGUGAGGGCCAUCAGAGCUAAAGGGAAACAUUGAACCGUGGAAGGACAAAGGGCACAGCGAUGUUAAAGAUGAAGAUGUGACCGUGGGAAAUUUACCAGAAGAACGCCUCCUCUCGUCUCGUCUCUACAGCCGGGGGGCGAAUUGGCAGAUUCUGUGAAGUAGCAGAUGUGUGUAACAUCAUUAUUUCAAUCACUGGCAUGACCACUGUUGGAUUUGUAAUACAAAGCCGCCGCAACUUCUAUCGAAUCAUCUCCGGCCUUCACAACUAAAGUCUACAAGUCCCCCAGGGUGUGUGAAAAGUGAGGCCCUACUGGUGUUGUGCCUGCGUUUACGCAUCAGUGGUUCAUUUAGGCACGACGAGGCAGCGUGUGUGUGCAUGUGCCACUAAUGCUGCCGUGAUGUCCGGGUUGGUUUCUUCUGGGUCUCGCCUCAGUGACAGUUACGGCCGUUGGGUCUCUGGAAGUCACCUCACGUUCUUUAAAGGUGAGCGCACAGAGAUUCCUGGUCGUGCGGGCGGCCAAUGUGACUGGAGAAUGCACGCAGAGAAAACUGUAAUUGUUGGUGGUGCCAACUUAGUUCGACAGGCAUUUUAACCCACGAUACCUCAGUACAGCCAAGAAAUGUGUCACAAUGUCUGAUGCCCUCCCACAUGAGAUACCAAGAUAGCACAUUAGAUAUGACCAUGGGUUUGACUCCUUCUUGCU